AAGAUGCUUUGUUGUUGCAAAUCGCCGUUGCGGCCACCUUAUAAAUACGCCUUGCUCUACACUUUUCAUACACCAAUUUAAAAACCUUUUUGAUAUAAUUCAUGCGCCUACUUUUAAACUUUUCUGAUAUACUCGAUUUAAAAGUGUUUCCUUAAAAUUUAAAGUCCAAUGGACGAAAUUAUAACCUAUAAAUUGCAACAACCACGAUGAUUUUGAGCGCUCAACAUCGGCCGAGACAACGCCAUCUGUUAGAUAAUGAGUUUUGCUGCUGACAUCCUUUUAAUGAAACGAUAAGAAACUGAAAGUCUACACAAUUUGUAUUUUUAAGUGGGUACUGCAAGGUUAAGAAAGAAGCUGUAAAAAUCAUUAUACUUCAUUGACUUGAAGAAAUGGAUUAAAUUUGAAGCUUCAUGAAUAAUAAGCUCUCUCUUUUUGCAACCCUUUGGGUCUGUGAAUGACCCCGGUCCAUUACAAGCUUUGUAGUUUUUCUUUCAUCUCUGCCAUGUUUCUGAACCAUAAAGAAGCACUAACUUCGCGCAUGCUUUCAAAAUUCGGCAUGUAGUUGUAAUGCUUAUUUUGUUCGCACGCCUUAUAUUUUAAAGCUUGAUAAAUGCUACACGCGCCUUCUGGAUCCGGCUAAGGAUAUCCUGUUUCGCUCCUCCAUUUGUGGAAGGAACGCUUCCCAGGUAUGUGAAACUGUCGACGUUUGCUAUAUUUUGCCCAUUAAUAAUGAAAGCCGUGCCAUUUGAUGAUUUAGUAUUCAGCGAUUCCGUUUUCUUGAUGUUGAUUUUGAGACCCAUUUUUUGAGUGAGAGCAGGUUAAUAUAUUCGACGCAUUCAAGGGCCUCCAGACAAUCGUUAUGGCGCCAGUUGAUUCCUCGUUUGAUAUUAGAGCUUACAAAAAUUUCUAGCACGCGAUCCAACAUAGUGAUGAAUAAUAGGGGCUAUAGCAGACAUCACGGUUCACUGAGUUUGCCUCGGCAUUUGUCGCCGUCUCAGCUAUUGAUAAUUAUAUUUAUAAUUUUCUGUGGUAUUCCUAUAUUUUCCAAAACACUCCAAAUACAUCCCUUUGAUUCAAUCAAAUGCCCUUUCCACUAUAAUUUUCAUUGUAUUAAUAUUAUCGAUAAACGAUUGAUUUGCUCUAAAUCUA